CUUGCGGCCAUAUCACGUUGAAACACCGAUUCACGUACGAUCACCGAAGUAAAGCAACGUUGUGCUUGGUCAGUACCAAGAUGGGUGACCGCUUGCGAAUACCAAGAGCUGUAAU
rnacentral:rRNA from 1 species